rnacentral:rRNA from 1 species
CCUGGGGAGUACGGCCGCAAGGUUAAAACUCAAAUGAAUUGACGGGGGCCCGCACAAGCGGUGGAGCAUGUGGUUUAAUUCGAUGCAACGCGAAGAACCUUACCUGGUCUUGACAUCCACGGAAGUUUUCAGAGAUGAGAAUGUGCCUUCGGGAACCGUGAGACAGGUGCUGCAUGGCUGUCGUCAGCUCGUGUUGUGAAAUGUUGGGUUAAGUCCCGCAACGAGCGCAACCCUUAUCCUUUGUUGCCAGCGGUCCGGCCGGGAACUCAAAGGAGACUGCCAGUGAUAAACUGGAGGAAGGUGGGGAUGACGUCAAGUCAUCAUGGCCCUUACGACCAGGGCUACACACGUGCUACAAUGGCGCAUACAAAGAGAAGCGACCUCGCGAGAGCAAGCGAACCUCAUAAAGUGCGUCGUAGUCCGGAUUGGAGUCUGCAACUCGACUCCAUGAAGUCGGAAUCGCUAGUAAUCGUGGAUCAGAAUGCCACGGUGAAUACGUUCCCGGGCCUUGUACACACCGCCCGUCACACCAUGGGAGUGGGUUGCAAAAGAAGUAGGUAGCUUAACCUUCGGGAGGGCGCUUACCACUUUGUGAUUCAUGACUGGGGUGAAGUCGUAACAAGGUAACCGUAGGGGAACCUGCGGUUGGAUCACCUCCUUACCUUAAAGAAGC